GAGUGAAGUAUAAUGAUCACACUGGGAGGCCUUAACAUUAGCAUGGUUCAGUACUUUUUAAAAUCGGGGCCUAUCUUGAGUAGAGAAGGAGGCUUUUCGCACUUUCUCGGCCGCAGCUGCCAGCUGCCAGGUCAGGAGCUGUCAGCUGCAAGGGCUCCCUGACUUAGACCUAACGCUUGCCUGCCCCAGCCCUCCAGAUCCAGCCACUGCCACCCCGCCACGCACCACAGGGAAAGGAAACCCUGCUCCAGCAAUGGCACAUUGUCAGGUGCUUUCCAUUCUUCUCAGUCACCAUAGUC
rnacentral:lncRNA from 1 species